AGUGGAAAUAUUAAGAGCAAUACAGAACUUAACGCUGUUAGUGAAGUAUGAAAGACCUGCUAACCUACUUGUACCUGAGGAAACAAGUGCAGAUUCAAUGGAAUGUCCUGUCCUUUGGCAAAUAGCCACUCCUGAGCACUGGAACCUAGAAGCAGUAGAAGCAACACUACGAAAUCCAUCAAACAGUGAUGAACAAUUUAAGAAGAAGUUUGUGAGGAAAGGCUCUUUGAUUAUGUUGACAACGAUAGCAUCAAGUAUACUCAGUGAUCCUGAAGCAUUUGAAGCUGCAGUCAUAUCAUUUCUUACGAAAAUGAUAGAAGACUGUGAUAUCAACACAGAAAUACCUUGUAGAGUUUACGUAACGAUUCAUAUUUUGAAUGCUAAUGAAGUGAACGUCACCUGCAUAGUACCAAACACAUCUACAGAUGAAAAAGCCGUUCAAACU